rnacentral:lncRNA from 10 species
CUCCACCCCACAACUGCCUCACAAGCAUCCCAGAGUCCAGUCAGCAGACAGCAGAAGAGACUGUCAGCAGACCACCUUGGAGGGGAUGCUUGGAGCUGCCUAACGUGUGAUUCAAAGAUGAAUUCCAUGUGUUUGGAGAAGAAGCCCUAGCCUCAACACAAAGGUUGGCCACAUUCCAGCCAAGGUAGCACGGAGUGAAGGCCCGUGGAGGGAGAGCUGGGCUUUUCUGAACUACUUCAGUACACCUUGCUGUGCCUUGGCCUGCCGUGUUUCAUCCCCAUGGCUGUCCUCAGUGAUGUGCAUGGUCACUGCUCCCUUCACCACUGAGAAGACGGGCACAGGACAGUCAGGGGAUGUGUCCAAGGUCCCACAGCAGGAAGGGCUGGAGCCAGAAUGUGGUCUGAGAGGCUGGAUAUACAAAGAGACAAUGGCAUGACCAUCUGUACAAAUGGAACUAUGGCCCACAACCUGCAGCAGCCAGCCCAGGAAGCCAACCCGUCACCUGCAGCAGCCAGGAUGGAUGCUGGCCUGCCCUCACUGAUACUCAAGUCUAGUUUUAUAUGGCUCCAAACGCCUCCACCAUGAGCUCAAGGCAGUGAGACUGACUGAAAAACCCUCUCUAUUACAGACCACAACAUUGAACCCAACAUCCCCCUAAGUAGGUUGUACUCACAUCAUUGGUCUUAUGGGGAAAUUUUAAGACCUCCCACUUGUAAGGUUUUAUAGCCCUCUAUGGAAUAUUGAAGAAAGAGUAAAAUGCAUCCAAAAAAAAAAAAAAACACUAAACUGGAUAAAUUCUAAGGCCUCUUCAGGUCUUAAGAUGGCCAUUUUCUAGGUCCUCUUGCUGCAGCAGUGAAAUCCACAAACACGGACAAGUCAGUCAGUUACGUGCCUUUCAGAGAAAACUUCUGACUUAGGAAUUCCAGCUAUUUGGCCCAACCCAUAUUAGAUUGUGUUAUAAAGACAUGGUAAAUUACAUCACGAAGGGAAGAGCAGAGGAAACAUAAUAUUCCUUCAAGACCCAUCAGCUCAGAUGUUAGCAGAACACCCCUAAGGAGGAAAACAAGAAAUUUUGGGUUUGAACUUGGUACUUCCCAGCAGCCCUGGGAGUGGGGUCAGAAGCCCUGCUGGGGGCCAAAGAACUCUGAGGAUCAAAGAUGUUGAGCAUCACCUUAGAGGCCAAAGAUCAGAACAGUGGAGGUGGCCUUUGAAGCCCAACCUGUCUUUCACCAGAGAGUGAGAACGGCCUCUAUUUCCAGGAAGCUCACUGCAGCAAUAAUCAUGAUGCUCUGAGCCUGACAAGCAAAAGAAAACUUCUUUAGGAGGAUAAAAGGGAGAUGAAGAAACAGAAAACACAUCAGCUCUCCAUCCAGAUUACAGAAAGCAGAAAACAUCCUGAAGUGAAUAACAUAGGAAUCGCUCUUUUUCCCCCCUGAGAUAGCAGGUUACUUAUGAGAAACAAGCUUGAAAUCUCUGCACCUGGACCAGCUUCCAGAGGCUUUUGUCCUGACCAGCUGGCUUUGGGGAAGUAAAGGAAACCAGAGAAGAAGAGGCUGAAAGAAUUGGUUUCCACCGUGACCUUUGAACCCUCGGGCGAGUUGUCAGCCUCACUGAGGAUGAGUGUACUCCAUAUCAAGUGAGGUCACUUUACUCGCAAGCUUGUUGUGAGGACUGAAUGAAACCUUUUCUUUUUUCUUGGAGUUUCAGAGCAACGUCCCUGAGCCCAGCCCCACACUGGCUUGAGCCCUGUCGUCGGUCAAGACACGGUGCUUUCUCCCCUCCCCUCUGCACUCCAGCUUACUCUGCAGUCAGGAGGUGGCACCACGAUCCCCUUUAAGACUUUGCCACUUGGGCCAGCUGCGCCCCUGUGAAAUUCCCUGUUUCUAUUGCAGGCCACAAGGACGAGCUGAGAAAUGGCUUCCAGUCACCAUCUAGAUUAGAAAGCCUAUAUUUCAAAUAUAGAUAUAUCAAUUAUGCCUGUAAAAAGACAUUAAAUCCCACAGGGCUGUAAUUCCUAGACUCUACGAAUUUCAUCUUGCACCAAAUUUUAUUAUUUCAUUUAUAAUUCGGAUUCUUCAAAUCUAAGAGUGCCUGGCUCAAAAUUAAAAUACCUACAACUAUGCCAAAACUGGACUCUUUAAUUGCCUUACUGGAACCAGUAGCUGAUUCAAAGCAAAACGAAACAAAAUUCCUCCUUUCUCUGAUUUAGUGAAUCAAUGAUCUAACUGAACUCAUUUUUGGACUGAGUUUGCGGCACUUGCAGCCCUGAGGGACACAUUCCCCCACCACACUGAGCCUGCACUCCCAUCAAUGCAAAUGAACAUUUUGCUUAUUCAGAUUGGGGGGGUGAAGGAAGUCACAAAAGGGUUAAUACAUAUGGCAUUUCAUUGUAAUAUGUACUCACUACUAACUAAAUUAAAAGAGAUGUGAGUUAUUAAAAACUCCAUCUUAAGAAAGUAACAGAAAUCAGAGUUCAGAUUCGUUGUUACUGAGUUUCCAACCAACACCUGUGAGUUAAACCUACGGCCACCCUGAAAACGGUUCAUAUUUUCAAAAGCUUCAUCGAAGAUGAGCUGCACUAAAGAUUCAUAUUACAUAUCAUGCUGCAAUAAGAAAAUCAAAUAAGGCCUUUCCAUAUUCAAUAAUAAAGUUUAAAGAAAAGUAAUAUUUGUUUAGCCAGUUAGCCAGAAAUUAGAUGUAUCAGAAUACAUCAUUCUUUGAGCAUUUUAGAAAAAUCAGGGUAUUUCUACAUUGUGUUUUUCUUUGUAAGCCCUCAAAAAAUAUAGAGAAUAUUCUUGAAAUUAUAGUGUUUGUCUUCUGGAACAAAAAAUACUAAUCAAGGAAAUCUACAAAUUUAAUGGUUUAUUGAGUUUCCACAGGAAACACUGUGUGAGGAGGCUGAGGCUUAGAAGUUCAAAAACUAAAAGGAUUGUUAUGAUUUCGAUAAUAAUAUCUUAUGUCUGCACAACAUCUGAACUCAGUUCUUUCCUGAGGUUCUCUCAUUCUUCAAGCAGCCUCUGAGGUAGGCAGGAGCGAUAAUAUCGGUUCCAUUUUACAGUUAGGAAAACAGAGGCUCACAGAGUCCCAAGGCUUAGCGGGAACGUCCGCCCUGCUCUCUGGGUUCUGAAGAACACAGUCGUGAAGGAUGUAAGCCAUUUCACAUUUU